CUGAACUAAAUAAGGUACAUAUCUGAGAGACAACAAUGGUUAAAUGCAAUACAAUGUACAGGUUUUACUAGCGAAAUGAAAAUUUUCCUGUCCUGUCUGCUGUAAUCAUUUUAUAUCUGGAAAACCAGCCGACUUAAUCGAUAAUAACAAUCUCCAGAUUGGGUUCCUUCAAUAAAUAUGGGCUAUAAACACAAUGAAAUAAGUUCCCCAAAAUCUAAAAUUGAGUGGUAUCAAAGGAGAAUUAAAGGAAAAAAUAUUCAUAUUGAAAUUAUUUAUAAGGCACUGGACUGUCUUAAAUUCUACAAUAAUACUAGAAUCAGCUGAGAGAAGUGGUCUACAAAAAACCAGGAAGGAAACGGAAUAUGUGGCUACGAAAGGCAAAAGAAAAGUUUACAAAGCAAAUGUGACACAUUUUUUUGAAAUAUUUAGGAAUAUUAGUAAAUUGCAUUAAAAAAAUGUAUGAAAAGAUUUUGUUCAAUAAAAAUGUUUAUAUUUA